rnacentral:tRNA from 1 species
ACUACUCCCCACCACCAGCACCCAAAGCUGGCGUUCUAAUUAAACUACUUCUUG